GUCUAUGGUUGCAGCUUUUAGGAGGCCACGGCUUUUACUCCCAACAGGCCCACUGAGACUAAUGGGGCCACACUACUGGGAGGGGGCAGUGUUUCUCAAAGCAUGGUCUUUAGACCGUCUGAGUGAGAAACCCCGGGGCAAUGAUUUCGCUGGUUCCCAGUCAGAUCUGCCACUGCCGAAUCUGUGAUGAGGCCCAGAAAGCUCCUGACAGACGGUGCCUCUGUGUGCAGCAACAGGAGACCACGGCGGUCUCACCUGGAAACUCUUCCACAGUUGUCAUUUCAGCAGCGCUCCACAAGUGAUGGAGUUGACUCCCAUCAGAGCCCUCCUGGACAUGAACUCCUGAGUGCCAGAAACAAGAUUCAUUUAAAGAUACAACUGUGAACGCUGCUGACCACAUUCCAGCGCAGUGUGGAUGUUCAACACCGAAGGGAGGGGACUCGGGCUUGGAUCUGCAGCUAGCAUUGGAUGGACACAGAAUCCUGAACUAUGCAUCGUGCUUUAGCUGCCAUGAAAAUUGAUUUUUUUUUUUUUCAGAAAGGAAUGUGCCAAUGAUGGGACUUAAGCUGGUGAAAACCACGUGGAACGGGAUGCUCAUGGGACCUGCCCCUUGGAGCUCCAGGCCUCCAGGCCUCAGUGCUGGUUUUCCUAAGUCCUUAUUUUCUCCCGUGUUUGGCUGGGGGCUGGUCCGACUUCUCCCUUUGGUGGACUCUCAGUUGUCAAGUGUGAAGUCUUUGAACUGCACACAAGAGUGGGGACAACGUUUCUAUCUGCAAAUCAAGCAAGCGCUUGGGCGAACAUCUUCCCAAGGCAGAGAUGAAGAAUGGAUUUCAGCUACAGAAGGCAGGAAUCCUUUGGACUUGGCCCUUUAUCAGUGGAAUGGACAGAGCAGCUCUCGGUGGGGUCUCUGUUGGGAAUGCCUGCUGAGACGGGACCAAGGACGGCUGCAGGAUGUGGUGUCUGUGCUCAGCGUCACCUCCUCCCAGGCUCCUGGGAAGCACCUGAGCAUCUCCUGACAAAGCCACCAUGAGCAAGACCCUCAGAGAAGGUAUGAAGAUGAGAGGCUGGUGUGAAGAGGCUGCUGUGAAGCAACUAUAUAGCAUCGGGCAGGACAUAAGGGGAAAUUGUUGCUUUCAUGUUCCUUUACCCCCACAGUUUGGAUUUCUGCCACAAGGAUCACUGUGGUCUUCCUCCCUGGGGCUCACUCCACCUACCCCACACCUCCCACCUCCCCCGUCCUCUCUUGGGGGACUUCCUGAGUUCUCGACAGAGCAGUUUCACUGUCUUCUCUCCACGCUUCCUGGACUGGCCCGCCCAUUUUUUUCUAUGACCCAGAAUUCCUUCCCAAAUAAGAGCGUCAUAUUCCUUGAGCCCCUUCACUAGAAGCAAGGAGAUGGGCAGGCGUUGAACUGCGGCUUUUCUCUAGACUCUUCCCUAAUCCCUAGGUUCCCCCAACUAUUUAGUCUAGAGCAAGCCCAGGAACAGUGAUUUUUUUUUUUUAACCUGCCAUUUCUGUUAUUCAAGCUGUUUUAGUCAGUUCAGGCUGCUGUAACAAAAAUGCAAUGGCCUGGGUGGUUUUAACAACAGAAAUGGAUUUCUCACAGUUCUUGUGAGGCUGGGACGCAGGAACCCCCACAUCCAAGUGCCAGGCAGUUCCGUGGCUGGGAGGGCUCCAGACUGGUGUGUGGAUGGCACCUUCUGCUGUGUCCUCACAUGGCUGAGAGAUGGGUCAUCUCUGUUCUUAUCAGGGCACUAAUCCCAUUCACAAGGCCCCCCAUGACCUAAUCACCUCCUAAAUGCCCCGCUUCCUAAUACCAGCACCUUGGAAAAUAGGGCUUCAAGAUACAAAUUUUGGGGGACUCAAACAUUCCAUCCAUAGCACCCGCUCAUGUGCUGUGAUGUCCAGUGAGCAGGCGGAGUUCCAGGGCUGGUCAGUGCCAGGUGCUCCUUCUCCCACCCGAGAACAGGGGCCAGGUUGCUCCUCAGGCACCCUGGGCAACUGCCCCUUCCCUUCCAGUGGGGCCUGACCUGGCUACCGAGCUUGGCAGCUAAUAGGCGGGCCCCUCAGCAUUCACGCUCCUGAGCUGCUUUAUCAAACUAGGAUUGUUCCCCCAGGUCUAAGAAAACCAUCCAUUCACUGCAAAGUUAUUUAUUACUGCGGAUGGGCUAGGAGUUAGAGGAAGAGAGUGACUCAAAUCACAACACCUCCUGGACGAAGCUGGAAGGGAUUAAAAUACGGCCUAAUUUCUCC
rnacentral:lncRNA from 1 species